UGGAAAGCUAGGAUUAUUGAUAUUGGUUAGAAAGGAAACUGAGGUUCCACAGCAGCAGUCUAAGGAUCGACCCAAUUCUGUAGGACAUUGGGCAUGAAGGCUUGUGUACUGGACGCCCACAACCAAGAUGGCCGAGAUGCAGGCGGAAGUCGACACGCUUUGUCCCUCUAGGGACGCUCUUUCUCUCUUGGUGGCUGGGCUCUCGAUGGUGGCCCUCCAUGAAGAGGGUGGAGGUGUAUUCCGCUAGCUAGUGGUGAAGGAGCUCUUGUACCUGCCGAAUUGGGGGAGGGAGUUGGUAUGUCUCUCAGAACCCUUUCUUUGUAGUCCGAGGGUGAGUGACAGUGGCGGGAAAGGGAUGGAAGGGAGCAAUUUCGUGCCUAGCCAGUGGCAAGGUGCAGGCUAGCGUGUGCCAGGCAGUUCGGUUAUAGCCGUCCCGGUGCACGGGUCUCCUCCCUGUGAGGAGUGGAAGGAUAUUGGGAGGGCUGUUGAGCGUCUGGGCCUCGGUUUGUUUGGGGGCUGAUGUAAGGACCCCUGUCCCGAGCCGUGCGAGGUGCAGAAAGCGGUGAAUGCGGCCGUGGUCUGCACCAGCGUUGGUGUGAGCUCGGGCAGGGAAGCACUGUAGUGGGGCUUGAUUGGACCGUCAAUGGCUUCGGAAUGGCCUGGGAAACACUGGAUGGGACCUCGAGGACCUGGAAGAAACGAUAUCCUGGGGCUUUAUGACAGAACCUCUGGCCACAGUAGGGGGCGAUGGGAGCCAGCACUUUAAGGAAGCUGGACAGCUAGUAGUGUUUAAAGGCUGGAGGAAUGGGGGUUUGUCGAAGGAGUUAAUGUGUCUCACACACAGUGGAGGCCAAUCCAGGCAAGUUCAAGCUCCCAGCUGGAGACAUGCAGGAAAGAACGGUGUGGAGUGGGAGACAGUACAGGUGAGAUGAUGUCCUAGUGGGGUGUAUUGGGAGAUGUGUGUUUUGUCUGUUUUUAAGACAGGGUUUCACUGUAACCUGGCAGGAUGCAACAAGAGAUCCACCUGCCUCUGCCUCAUGAGUGCUGGUAUUAAAUCAUGCAGCACCACAUUUAGCUUGCUUCAGGGUGACGAGACUCUAAUGCUAUCUUCAUCCACAGCACUGGCCUUCAUGGACAGGAAUCAUAAAGAGACAAUGGAUUCAUCCAGCCCAAGUAUCACAAGCAGGUGACCAUGGACCACUAGGAUCAACAGCUGGAAAUGGUGUCUGGGAGCAUGUCGGGUCCUGUUGGGGAGGAGUUGGAUGAGCAGGGUAUGUGCGGCCAGGGCUUGGGGGACAUGCCUCUGGCUUCUCUGGUGCACAGGGGCUGAUUCCACCAUGGUAUUGGCUGCAUAUUGGAUACCUUUACUCAUGAACUACACCACAGAGUCUCUGAUAGAUUGGGUCCUCAGAAAGAUGGCUAACGUGCCCCACGUGACGAGUGACAAAUGACAGUACAUGCUCCUGUUGUGUGGUUUUCCUGGUCCUGAUUCAGAGAAUUUGGGAUGUUCAAUGAACCUGAACAAGCUGACCCAAGGAUCUCUUCUAGAAUUUAUUAUGUAUACAACAUUCUGCCUCCAUGUAUGUCCACAUGCCAGAAGAAGGCAC